UACGGAGGGGGCGAGCGUUAUUCGGAAUUAUUGGGCGUAAAGGGCGCGUAGGCGGCCUGGUCAGUCGAAGGUGAAAUCCCCGAGCUCAACUUGGGAACUGCCUUCGAUACUGCCGGGCUUGAGUCCGGGAGGGGAGAGUGGAAUUCCCAGUGUAGCGGUGAAAUGCGUAGAUAUCGGGAGGAACACCUGUGGCGAAGGCGGCCACCGUGGUUGGAUACGUGACGCUGAGACGCGAAAGCGUGGGGAGCAACAGG
rnacentral:rRNA from 1 species